CGGAAGCGGGACGACCGACCUGGUCCCACCCCACCUCACCCGGGAACAAACGGAAACAGUCACUCGGAAUUGCAAGACCGGCCUAAAUGGUCCUCUAGAUUCGGCUUUAGUAGUAGAUUCCGCAUUUCCAAAAGGAAUGGUGCCUAAACCUUUGGUUAACACUUGUCGGUGUGCUUAGCUUUGUGCAUGGCGAUGGGGGAAGAGCGUAAGUGAUGAACAAAAGGAUAGUGUGACCUUUCUCACCUCAUCACUCUCCUGUGUGAAACCACUUACACAGCACAGUAGCCUCAUAAAGAUCCAGGUGAAGAUCUGAUCGAUACAACUGCCUAAACUCAGGGUUACUGCUGUGGCAGCUGCUGGGAUCCUGGAGAGAGUUCUUCUCACCACUGCAGUCUGUGCUUUGUAAACACGUGGAAUAGUGCAACCCUGCCAUGGACAGCAUGCCCUGAAUAGCUUCUUCCUCUGUGCUCGUCGAGGUAGGACAUUCCCUAAGGAGCAGGCGAUCCAAAACACAACAGUGUAUUUUUUUCUGAUGAAAUACUGAGUACACUUGAAAACUAAACUGUUUUCACAGCAUUUACAUCAUAAUGUAAAACGACUACUACCAUCAGCAAGCCUACCUUUUAACUGGAAUUUCAUUUCUAGAUGGCUUCUGGCUCUUCUGAAGGAGGUUCCUCACUACAUCCGACUCCUCUUUAAAGUUUGAUGUUAUUUCAUGUUUCUUUUCAUCACCUGAACUUUCAGACUCUUCAGUGGCAAAAUUAAUUUUCUGAAAUAAUAAAUAGAAACAAAGCUAAAAAGAAA